rnacentral:rRNA from 1 species
UCGAGAAUCUUCCGCAAUGGGCGAAAGCCUGACGGAGCGACACCGCGUGCAGGACGAAGGCCUUCGGGUUGUAAACUGCUGUCACGCUCUAGGAACCCCAUGCUGUUAACAGCGGCAUGGCUGACCAAGGCGAGAGGAAGUGGCGGCUAACUCUGUGCCAGCAGCCGCGGUAAGACAGAGGCCACGAACGUUGUUCGGAAUCACUGGGCAUAAAGCGCACGUAGGCGGCUAGGUCCGUCCGAUGUGAAAGCCCCCGGCUCAACCGGGGAAUUGCAUCGGAUACAGCCUGGCUUGAGGACGGUUGGGGUGAGUGGAACUCCUGGUGGAGCGGUGAAAUGCGUAGAUAUCAGGAGGAACACCGGUGGCGAAAGCGGCUCACUGGACCGUUACUGACGCUGAGGUGCGAAAGCUAGGGGAGCAAACAGGAUUAGAUACCCCCGUAGUCCCUGAGCGGGCUGGCAAGGCGCAU